rnacentral:rRNA from 1 species
ACGAACGCUGGCGGCGUGCCUAAUACAUGCAAGUUGAGCGAUGAAGAUUGGUGCUUGCACCAAUUUGAAGAGCAGCGAACGGGUGAGUAACGCGUGGGGAAUCUGCCUUUGAGCGGGGGACAACAUUUGGAAACGAAUGCUAAUACCGCAUAAUAACUUUAAACAUAAGUUUUAAGUUUGAAAGAUGCAAUUGCAUCACUCAAAGAUGAUCCCGCGUUGUAUUAGCUAGUUGGUGAGGUAAAGGCUCACCAAGGCGAUGAUACAUAGCCGACCUGAGAGGGUGAUCGGCCACAUUGGGACUGAGACACGGCCCAAACUCCUACGGGAGGCAGCAGUAGGGAAUCUUCGGCAAUGGACGAAAGUCUGACCGAGCAACGCCGCGUGAGUGAAGAAGGUUUUCGGAUCGUAAAGCUCUGUUGGUAGAGAAGAACGUUGGUGAGAGUGGAAAGCUCAUCAAGUGACGGUAACUACCCAGAAAGGGACGGCUAACUACGUG